UCCGAGUUGACCCCGGCAGUCUCCUGAGAGUGCCCGGCAUAACCCGCUGGUAACUAGGGACGAGGGUUGCGCUCGUUGCGGGACUUAACCCAACAUCUCACGACACGAGCUGACGACAGCCAUGCAGCACCUGUGCACGGACUCCGAAGAGGGGCCGAUGUUUCCACCGGCUUUCCCGUGCAUGUCAAGCCUAGGUAAGGUUCUUCGCGUUGCAUCGAAUUGAACCACAUGCUCCACUGCUUGUGCGGGCCCCCGUCAAUUCCUUUGAGUUUCAACCUUGCGAUCGUACUUCCCAGGUGGAGUACUUAAUGCGUUAGCUAAGACACUGAAGUUUAAAGACCCCAACAUCUAGUAUUCAUCGUUUAGGGUGUGGACUAC
rnacentral:misc_RNA from 1 species